CGGCGCGGCGGAGAGGCGGACAGCGGCGGAGAGGCGGACAGCGGCGGAGAGGCGGACAGCGGCGGAGAGGCGCACAGCGGCGGAGAGGCGCACAGGGGCGGAGAGGCGCACAGCGGCGGCGAGGCGCACAGCGGCGGCGCAGGCGCGGAGAGGCGCAGGCCCAGGCUCCACUCCCCAGCUGUGAAAGGUGACGGGAACAGUAAGAAUGAGGCUUGGAACGCGGAGUGCAUUGUGGGCCUGUCGUGGGUGGGGCCAGCAGCACAUGCAUGCCUGGCUCACAGAGCAGCCUUUGGGUGUUCUUUUCCUGGAGGAGCUCUACGGUGAUUUUGAAGACUUGGAAACGGGACGUGCACAAGGGAAAAUCGGGCCCCGACACUCAGAAUGAAGAUAUAGAGAAACAAGGAAGAAAUUGACCCUGACGAAGAAGAAAGUGCCAAGAAAAAGCAUUUGGAUAAGAAGAGAAAAUUGAAGGAGAUGUUUGAUGCAGAAUAUGAUGAAGGAGAAAGCACAUAUUUUGAUGAUCUUAAAGGAGAAAUGCAGAAAGAAGCACAGAUGCGUCUGAAGAAACAUCGCUGGUAUAAGAAAAUCCUCAAGUCCCAAGAUCCAAUCAUAUUUUCUGUAGGGUGGAGGAGGUUUCAGACCAUCCUGCUCUAUUAUAUCGAAGACCACAAUGGAAGACAAAGGCUUCUAAAGUAUACGCCACAGCACAUCCAUUGUGGAGCAGCCUUUUGGGGCUGGAGUGCAGUGGCAUGAUCUUGGCUCGCUGCGACCUCUGCCUCCUGGGUUUAAGCGGUUCUCCUGCCUCGGCCUCCCGAGUAGCUGGGAUUACAG
rnacentral:lncRNA from 1 species